AGGUGUCAUAGUGUGGUUGUGAGGUGUCCUAGCUACUUUACCUGUCAUAGUGUGGUUGUGAGGUGUCAUAGUGUGGCUGUGAGGUGUCCUAGCUACUUUACCUGUCAUAGUGUGGUUGUGAGGUGUCAUAGUGUGGUUGUGAGGUGUCAUAGUGUGGUUGUGAGGUGUCAUAGUGUGGUUGUGAGGUGUCCUAGCUACUUUACCUGUCAUAGUGUGGUUGUGAGGUGUCAUAGUGUGGUUGUGAGGUGUCAUAGUGUGGUUGUGAGGUGUCCUAGCUACUUUACCUGUCAUAGUGUGGUUGUGAGGUGUCCUAGCUACUUUACCUGUCAUAGUGUGGUUGUGAGGUGUCAUAGUGUGGUUGUGAGGUGUCAUAGUGUGGUUGUGAGGUGUCAUAGUGUGG